rnacentral:rRNA from 1 species
UACGUAGGGUGCGAGCGUUGUCCGGAAUUAUUGGGCGUAAAGGGCUCGUAGGCGGUUUGUCGCGUCGGGAGUGAAAUCCACUGGCUUAACUGGUGGCUUGCUUUCGAUACGGGCAGAUUGGAGGUAUGCAGGGGAGAACGGAAUUCCUGGUGUAGCGGUGAAAUGCGCAGAUAUCAGGAGGAACACCGGUGGCGAAGGCGGAUCUCUGGGCCUUACCUGACGCUCAGGUGCGAAAGCUAGGGGAGCGAACAGG